GGACGAACGCUGGCGGCGUGCUUAACACAUGCAAGUCGAACGGUAAGGCCCUUCGGGGUACACGAGUGGCGAACGGGUGAGUAACACGUGGGUGAUCUGCCCUGCACUUUGGGAUAAGCCUGGGAAACUGGGUCUAAUACCGAAUACACCCUGCUGGUCGCAUGGCCUGGUGGGGGAAAGCUUUUGCGGUGUGGGAUGGGCCCGCGGCCUAUCAGCUUGUUGGUGGGGUGAUGGCCUACCAAGGCGACGACGGGUAGCCGGCCUGAGAGGGUGUCCGGCCACACUGGGACUGAGAUACGGCCCAGACUCCUACGGGAGGCAGCAGUGGGGAAUAUUGCACAAUGGGCGCAAGCCUGAUGCAAGCGACGCCGCGUGAGGGAUGACGGCCUUCGGGUUGUAAACCUCUUUCACCAGGGACGAAGCGUGAGUGACGGUACCUGGAGAAGAAGCACCGGCCAACUACGUGCCAGCAGCAGC
rnacentral:rRNA from 1 species